UUUUAGAAAAAAUGUGACAAAUCAAACUUUUUUCAGAUUUUUUGAAACAUACCAAGUGGUUAAGCAUAAGGGGACCCAACGCCCCUAAUGGACCUGCAAUAAAUCGCCUUUCCAGAAAUAUCAUUAGAGAACCACCCAUAAUGGAGUGCAUAAUUUAGCGAAACGAGAUAAAUCUUAUGUGCAUAUUUCGCAACAAAUAUUUAACACUUGCUGCUGACUGGCGCAUGCAUGGUGACCAUAGAACAAGGUGCUAAACAAGAAUUAUAUGGUGACGGUGACACUAGGCCGGUAUGUUUAGUCGAUCUUUUACGAUGCGCCGGCCUCUUGACGUUCGUUGGAGGCAACUUUGGUUGGACAACCGAUCACAAGGGCAUCUGACGCACGCGCAUUUUAAUGUUGCUGGGCGAUGCGGUGAGAAUUUGCAGGAGAUGGGUGCAGGCAUCUCCGGACGAGCGCCAAAGCUUUUUUUGAUUUUAUAUAUAGUUUUAUACUAUUUUUGUUUUAAAUAUAUAGAUAACGAUCUCGAUGUGUUAAUACAGUGUUAAUCGGAAUAAUUCAGACUUGGAAUUAGAUUUGAACAUACCACAACACAAAGGUACAUUCGAGAUAUGAAAAAUACUUUAGAAAAAUUUACUGAAUCUGAUUUCAGAAAACGCCUUUGUUUCUCAAAGGAAAUCGGGCAAAAUAUUUUGUUGACAUUAAUUAAUCACUAGGAACAAAUCACAAAUCGAGGCCUUUGAUAAUAGAUAUCUUUAUUGAAUUUUAUUGUCAGUCCCUACUUGUUGAAAAAAAUCAAGCUUGCAUGUGUGAUGUGUCGUUGAAAUAAUAAUCAUAAUAAACAAAGUUAUUACUGCA